rfam:Flavobacteriaceae bacterium CG1_02_35_72 cg1_0.2_scaffold_2672_c, whole genome shotgun sequence.
CAACCUCUGGCGAGAAUCGUAAAUGUUG